rnacentral:lncRNA from 1 species
GUGGUGUUUUCCUCUGGUAAUGAAUAAUUGAAAACGGUUGGAAACUGGUUUUUUUCAAUUUUCCUUAUUUUAGCAUUUUUUUACCUUAUUUUUUGAAAAAAAUCAAAGAGAUACCAAAAAUUUUAUUUUUAUUAUUUUUAACACCAACAUAGUACUAGACUUCCAUAUAGGUAGUUUAGUCAUACCUGCUGUUUUUCUCCG